rnacentral:rRNA from 1 species
AGACAGCAGCCGCCGCGGGAAAACAGAGGGUGCGAGCGUUAAUCGGAUUUACUGGGCGUAAAGCGUGCGUAGGCGGCUUUUUAAGUCGGAUGUGAAAUCCCUGAGCUUAACUUAGGAAUUGCAUUCGAUACUGGGAAGCUAGAGUAUGGGAGAGGAUGGUAGAAUUCCAGGUGUAGCGGUGAAAUGCGUAGAGAUCUGGAGGAAUACCGAUGGCGAAGGCAGCCAUCUGGCCUAAUACUGACGCUGAGGUACGAAAGCAUGGGGAGCAAACAGGAUUAGAUACCCCCGAGUCCCUGUCUCUUAUACA